GGAUUAGAUACCCGGGUAGUCCUAGCUGUAAACAUUGCCCAUCUGAUGUUGCUUUCCCGUUGAGGGAAGGCAGUGUCGGAGCGAAGGUGUUAAAUGGGCCGCUUGGGAAGUAUGGUCGCAAGACUGAAACUUGAAGGAAUUGGCGGGGGAGCACCGCAACGGGAGGAAUGUGCGGUUUAAUUGGAUUCAACGCCGGAAAACUCACCGGGAACGACCUGUGCAUGAGAGUCAACUUGACGAGCUUACUCGAUAGCAGGAGAGGUGGUGCAUGGCCGUCGUCAGCUCGUACCGUAGGGCGUUCACUUAAGUGUGAUAACGAGCGAGACCCACAUCUUUAAUUGCAAAUGUAUAUGGGAAUAUGCAUGCACUUUAGAGAAACCGCCAGCGCUAAGCUGGAGGAAGGAGUGGUCGACGGCAGGUCAGUACGCCCCGAAUUUCCCGGGCUACACGCGCAUUACAAAGAACGGGACAAUACGUUGCAACCUCGAAAGAGGGAGCCAAUCGCGAUAC
rnacentral:rRNA from 1 species